rnacentral:rRNA from 1 species
UACGUAGGUGGCAAGCGUUGUCCGGAAUUAUUGGGCGUAAGCGCGCGCAGGUGGUUUUCUUAAGUCUGAUGUGAAAGCCCACGGCUCAACCGUGGAGGGUCAUUGGAAACUGGGGAACUUGAGUGCAGAAGAGGAAAGUGGAAUUCCAAGUGUAGCGGUGAAAUGGCGUAGAGAUUUGGAGGAACACCAGUGGCGAAGGCGACUUUCUGGCUGUACUGACACUGAGCGCGAAAGCGUGGGGAGCGAACAGG